rnacentral:lncRNA from 1 species
UCACCUUUGCAUCCCCAACUUUAUUCUGCAGAAGAAAGCAGCCAAUGGAAGAAGCGGAUCUAGGAGGCAGCGGUAACCAUCACCUCAUGCUCCAGGCUUCUCACACGCUUGCAAACAUGUGCAUCAUCAUUAAAAUGCAGAUUCUCAUCCAGAGGCCUUGGGUGGAGCCCAAGAUUCAGAGUUUAUCCCAAGCUCGCAGGUGUUGCCCAGGUCCCUGAGCACACCGUGAGCUGAAAAGCAUUGCAGAGCCCAGGAUCGUAUGGUUAGCAGAUGAUAGAGCCAUACUUGAGCCCUGAUCUGAUUGACCCCGCAGAUAUCUCAACCCCAUCUUUAAUGGCCAGUUCAUCACACUAAGGGGAAGGAGAUGUUUGAUUUUGUCUGAAUGCAAAAAGUUCAGUAGAUCCUAGAGGAAGCCUCCAGAGACUCGUUACAGAGCAAAGAAGAGGUUCUAAGGUGGAUGGGAAUCUUCACCCCCACAGAGAAGGAUGUGUGUCCAUGAGGAAAGGUGCCUUAAAAAUACUGGCCGAAUCAAAGCAAACAAGUGAACUUGAAAAUGGACCACAAAGAAAGAUGAACACAUUGCCCUGGAUGAACACAUCCUUCGGUGAGUUGAUAAGAUGUGCUCUUGCCUGAGGUCUCCACAGGAUGCUACCCGUGGAGGAAAGUGAUAGUCCUUCCUGAAGGGACCACUCAGCAUCAUCUUAUAUAACAUGUGAACAGGGCUGUAAUGCAGUGGAAGCUUAUAAAUGAUCUUGCUGUAUAAAGUAGCCUUGUUUGCCUGCACUGGACACUAAGCUAUGCAGAGUUUGUGUUAGGAAAGCAGCCCUGACACCAAACAUUUGAUCUGUCAAUUUAGUCUUGGAUUUUGGGAAUUUUCUCCACAUCCACUUCACGAGAAAGGCCAUUGCGUCACUACCAAGUGUUGAGUACAUUUUGAAAGGCACUUGAAUCUUACAAGUCUCCCCUCUGCAGAUCUGUGCGUGAAUGACACAAACUGGAGAGCCUAAGAAGGGUGAGCCAAGGCAGAUGCUUUACAGUUGAACUUAAAAGGCAAUUCUGAGGAUCACUUAAAAAACCAAAACUAAAUAUAGAACAACCAUAUCACCCAGCAAUCCCACUUCUGGGCAUAUAUCUGGACAAAACUAUAAUUAAUAGAGAUCCAUGCACCCUGAUGUUCAUUGCAGUACUAUUCACAAUAGCCAAGACACAGAAGCAACCAAAAUG